rnacentral:misc_RNA from 1 species
GAUGAAGAACGCAGCGAAAUGCGAUAAGUAGUGUGAAUUGCAGAAUUCAGUGAAACAUCGAAUCUUUGAACGCACAUUGCGCCCCUUGGUAUUCCAUGGGGCAUGCCUGUUCGAGCGUCAUUUGUACCUUCAAGCUCUGCUUGGUGUUGGGUGUUUGUCUCGCCUCUGCGUGUAGACUCGCCUCAAAACAAUUGGCAGCCGGCGUAUUGAUUUCGGAGCGCAGUACAUCUCGCGCUUUGCACUCAUAACGACGACGUCCAAAAGUACAUUUUUACACUCUUGACCUCGGAUCAGGUAGGGAUACCCGCUGAACUUAAGCAUAUCAAUAAGCAGAGGA